CGCGCGCGAGGUGAAGGUGACCACCUUGUCGAGGUAGUCGGGGCAAGGGAUAGGUGGCAACACUUCCUGAGGCUGCGAGGAAGAAAAGUGAAUCUUCCAGAGUAAGGGUGUGUGCUGGUUGUCGGCGGAGCAGCGUGGAGGCGCGGCACGGGGGAGGCUCAGCUGCUGCACCUGUGGCUGCAUGCGCACAUGUGCUGGCUGAAUCUCCGCCUGGCUGCUAUGGUUGAAGUUGUGGUCUCGCCUGUAUCUCUGCUGAAGGGGAGUUGCAGCACGUACGGCUGCGUCAGCCCUGCGCGAGUCAGCUCGGGCAGAGCGAGCUCGGCGCGCGCGAGGCGAAGGUGACCACCUUGUCGAGGUAGUCGGGGCAAGGGAUAGGUGGCAGCACUUCCUGAGGCUGCGAGGAAGAAAAGUGAAUCUUCCAGAUCAAGGGUGUGUGCGCUGGCUGUCGGCGGAGCAGCGUGGAGGCGCGGCACGGGGGAGGCUCAGCUGUUGCACCUGUGGCUGCAUGCGCACAUGUGCUGGCUGAAUCUCCGCCUGGCUGCUAUGGUCGAAGUUGUGGUCUCGCAUGUAUCUCUGCUGAAGGGGAGCCGACGGGUGCAUAGCAAGGAGGGUUGCAGCACGUACGGCUGUGUCAGCCCCGCGCGAGUCAACUCGGGCAGAGCGAGCUCGGCGCGCGCGAGGCGAAGGUGACCACCUUGUCUACGUAGUCGGGGCAAGGGAUAGGUGGCAGCACUUCCUGAGGCUGCGAGGAAAAAAAGUGAAUUUUCCAGAGCAAGGGUGUGCGCGGUCGAUGCAGUGCAUGUAUAUAUUAAAAAAAAUGUUUGCUGGAAGCCGCCGUUGGGUGUGUAACGGCUGAGCCGUGCACCACGACGCUAGUGUCCAUCUGAGCCGGCUAGUGCUGGAUGAUGGAUGUCCCAAUAAAUGCGGUCGGUGAGUGGGCCCUAGUAUCUGGAAAAGCAUCUCAUACUACUCAGAAUACGCAGUAAAAUACAUCUCCUGAUGCGAAUCUUAGCGCCAGACAACGGCUGGGAUAACAGGUCCAUCUGAGCUCGAGCUCAGAAUAGGACUUUCGCCACGUAAUCUUCCACCAUAGAUAUGAAUACCACAAUUAGCUCUGUUAGUGGUGCUUUGCUGAAUCUCGAGUAUUAAAUGAACACCUUAUUUUCUAUAUACAAUUAAAAUGGUUGCUGAUGGUUUAUAACAAUGCAGUCCUGAACAUACAAUGUGAUUCUAUUCAUCCGAGUAAAUAUAUACAUAAGGACGGACUAUGAUGUUAACUUCCUUCGACAUAUUUGGUUUUAUGUCAACAAACCAUGUUCAUAUGUUCUACUUUUUUUUCUCUGCAACCGAUCAGUACAUUUUCUUAGUGUUUAUGGACGUCGCACCACAUUGGAUGUUCGCCCUUUCAUAACAAAAUUUUGGCAUAGACAUUGCUGAAUUUACUGUUUGCGAUAUAAUGUAUUUGCCAAAAUCGUUUUAACUAACAUUGGCUUUUGUAGUGAGGAGUGAGGACACCAAAACUUCCAUAAUUAGCGGAUGCAAUAAAGUAUUUGAGGUUAUGUUUGGUUUUAAUUAUUCAGCUGGAGCAGAGGCUCUAUUUUAUCUAAUCUGUAUAUGCUAGCUGUGUACUACAGGUUUGUGGCAGAGUUAUCUCUACUAUUAAAGAGGGAUCGAACGUCGUGAUGGUUCGACCUCCUCUUCCUAUCGCUAAUCGCUAGCUAUCUGUUAGGAUUUAAUCAAUUUAUCUCUACUAUUAAAGAGGGAUCGAACGUCGUGAUGGUUCGACCUCCU